rnacentral:tRNA from 1 species
GGAUGUGACUCAGUGGUACAAGUGCUUGCCUGCCAUGCAUGAGGCCCUGGGUUCAAAUCCCCAAGCACCA